UCUUAUCAUGGGAUGCGGAAUGGUUUGAGCGGCAAAAGCCAAAAAUUCAGAUAAGAAUAUUUUAAUGUUUCGCUCACAAAUUCUUCCGCUGAUAAGGACAAAGUGAAAAUUUUGAACGGGUUUCAAAUAGAAUGUACAUGAAGAAUGUGUGAACAGAUUGGGUUGAGUUUAGCAUAGAGGGGGAACGGGUCCGAUCACAUUCACUUAGGCAAAAAAUCAACUUGAAGAAAUAGCAAUAAAAAGCACUAUUCUAAUUUCAGGCCCGAUGGAGUUCCCGAACUCCCGAACCGGGCAGUGACAGAAAAAAGAAAAAAGCCCACCCCACCUCUACUCCCCCCGAUUCCCCGAUGCCCCACCUCCCGCAGCUCCUGCCCUCAACGACGACGUGCCCGCCGCCCCGUCCCCAACCGGCGGCGCCGCCGCCACCAACCCCCCAGCCACGACGCGUUGUGUAUAGGAGCCGGCGGGAUGCUCCCGAACUCCGGAUCCCGCGGAGAAAAAAAAAAGAGAAUCCCUCUCCCAACCUUAUCCCCACACGCCGUUCUAACCUCGCACCCAUGCCACCACCACCUCCCUCCCCGGGCAGCAGGCGCCGCAGCCGCCGCAGCCGCCACCUCCCUCCCCCGGCAGUAGGCGUCGUCGCCCACACCUCCUUCCGCCGGCAGAAGCACUGCCGCCCCCAUCUCCCUCCCCGCCAGACGCACCGUCGGCCCCAACUUCCUCCCCGGCAGAAGCGCCGUCGCGACUCCACCUCCAGGCCGGGUCGCCACGCGCCUCCACCUCCCGGCUUCACGGCGCUGCCCCGUCGGUCUCCUCCGGCGGCCCCGUCGCCGUCCUUCUCCCGGAGCCCCGGCGCCCGGCGGCUUCCGUCGUGCGCGCCAAUCAGGCCACACGGCCACCCCCGUCGCCCUAGCAUGCUUGCUUGGUGGAGACUAGGAGCAGCGACAGAGAUGCCGCCCCGCGGCCGAACCCCUGCCUCCGCUUGGCUCCGUCCGCUGCAGCACACCGGCUCUCCCCGUCGCCCACCUGCCAUGUUCAUGUCCACAGGCGUGUCUUUGCCCAUUCCAUACUUGUGCGCCUCGGCUUCUGGCGGUGCCACGAUGAGAAACCAACUCAUCCAAUUUUGCAGGGUACUGAUGAACUUCAGAGUGAAUGUGGCUUAAGGUUCAGAGACGUACAAUAUUUUUUAGUACAUUCAGAGUGUUUUUUUCCCUGUUUUUCAUUUCUUAGCUUCAUAAAUCUGAGACCAACAUCCCAUCAGCUGAAGCUUAUAGUUUCAUGUAUGUACUAAAAUAAACACAUUUUGACCGGUAUACUCUGCAUUCGUGUGAAAUUAUUUGAAAUGAAGGAGACGUUUGGCUGUAUUGCCAGUUCAAGUUAAGUUCUCCCUGCAGAUACAUCAAUUUUUAUUUCCAUGUAUUGAGUUCUCUUACAUAUUUCAUAUGAUGAUGCAUCUCCCUGGAUCAUAGCUACACCUUACAAACAAGGAGGCUUUGAAAAAAACCCAGGAUGUACAAACUUGACAGUUCAAGCUACAAAUGGAGCGUUCCAUGCAGCAACAUCAACCCAACGGGCAUACGAUGUCCGACGACGGCUAGGUUUGGCGUGCGUCUCUCCGGCGUGCUGGGCGUGGUGCCGAGAGUGCUGCAAUUCGAAGUGGCUGGGCAUUAAAUUUUAGAGAUUGCUUUUUUAGUACAUUCAGGGAAGUUUCUUUCUUCCUUUUUGCAUUUUGUCUAUGCACAUACUUAGUUCAGACUUCAGAGUGGUUCUGACCUUGGCUCCUCUCACCUGAACACUUGCACCAUUUGUAAAAUAUACAUAAAUGAGUGUCGUAACUAGCAUUCAAAAAUGAAUCCAGAAUAAGUAGGAAGACACCACAACCUCUUCCACGGGUUCCAGUAGCUCAAGCUUUUAAGAAAAUACAUUUGACACGAAGCUUUAUUCAUACAGUUGUAAUAGUUUUUGAAGUAAUUUUAUCACUUCUGUAGCUUUGCUUUUUUUUUUUGAAAUGCUUUGUUUUGCAUAACAAUUGCUUUGGCAGUAGCAAAAGGAAGUUUUCUCUGGUGGCAAGGGGCCAUGCAGGCUGUUUUGUUACUUGCAAGGGACCAUGCAAGGACCUAUCUAGCCGCUAAACCACAACCGCUUCUGGUCCGGCCGCCAUCAACACACACCGCCACGGCCUACUGCUGACACGACCGCGCCUCCCCGAAGUCCAGGUUGUUCCCCGAGCGAACGUGCACCCUCAACUCUGUAGUGCCUGAGAAGCCACAUGGAAGCCCAAUCAUGCGUGCGUUGGUGUCCCCUGAAUUCGUCAUGGAGGUUUUGAUUAGUUUGGGUCACUCCCCACUGCUCUUCUCCGUGGCGGAUCCUCCUCUGACCGGCUUCCCCCACCACUACUGCAAUACCUCCUGACUACCCCCUGCAUCACCGGCAGCCGUGGUGGUCUGCUCCUCCCGGAUUGCACUCAUCAGCAGGUCAAACACAAAGCUUGUGGCAGGUCGACUAAAGAAGUUGGAGCAAAAAAGGAGGCACAAAAAAGUCAUUACAGCAUCAUCCUUUGAAGAAAGAACAUAGAACGUCCAGGUGGUCUCUACAUCAAUGGAAGGAGGGCGAUCAAUCGGUGCUGCUGCGACGCUGUCUUCAACUCCUGGAUCGGCGAAGAGGCGAGCUGCUCAGGAUAGCCUGGGGUGGGAACUGAGGGCAUGCGUGAAGAAGAACCGAGGUGGAGCGCCGAAGGCUCACUCGGGAUGAGUCACACAAAAAAGGCAAAAACAUCAACAAAGAAGAUGACUGAGAGCGCGAUCUGCUCUUUAUGCUUCCCUCUGGUGUAGCUCGAGUUGAUGGUUUUACAGCUGGCCUUGCAUGGUAGCAGACGUUCUUUUUCCCUGUUAAAACUGAUUCAGUCAGUGGGCGCUUGUUUAGCUGUUGCUUUAGCUUAGUUGGUUUUCCGGUCUGCCAUUUCGGGUAGCCCCGAUCGCUUGUAACAGUCCUGGAGACUUGCGUUGCUCCGUUUUUUUAUAAAAAUGGGGCGGGGGAAAACCCCUUUUGAUCAAAAAAAGAACGUCCAGGUGGUUGGUUUCUGGCCACUGAGAACA